GAUGAACGCUGGCGGCGUGCCUAAUACAUGCAAGUCGAGCGAAUGGAUUAAGAGCUUGCUCUUAUGAAGUUAGCGGCGGACGGGUGAGUAACACGUGGGUAACCUGCCCAUAAGACUGGGAUAACUCCGGGAAACCGGGGCUAAUACCGGAUAACAUUUUGAACCGCAUGGUUCGAAAUUGAAAGGCGGCUUCGGCUGUCACUUAUGGAUGGACCCGCGUCGCAUUAGCUAGUUGGUGAGGUAACGGCUCACCAAGGCAAAGAUGCGCAGCCGACCUGAGAGGGUGAUGGGCCACACUGGGACUGAGACACGGCCCAGAAUCCUACGGGAGGCAGCAGUAGGGAAUCUUCCGCAAUGGACGAAAGUCUGACGGAGCAACGCCGCGUGAGUGAUGAAGGCUUUCGGGUCGUAAAACUCUGUUGUUAGGGAAGAACAAGUGCUAGUUGAAUAAGCUGGCACCUUGACGGUACCUAACCAGAAAGCCACGGCUAACUACGUGCCAGCAGCCGCAGUAA
rnacentral:rRNA from 1 species